rnacentral:rRNA from 1 species
UACGUAGGGUGCAAGCGUUGUCCGGAAUUAUUGGGCGUAAAGAGCUCGUAGGCGGUUCGUCGCGUCGGCUGUGAAAAACCUGGAGGCUCAACCUCAGGCCUGCAGUCGAUACGGGCGGACUUGAGUACUGCAGGGGAGACUGGAAUUCCUGGUGUAGCGGUGGAAUGCGCAGAUAUCAGGAAGAACACCCGUGGCGAAGGCGGGUCUCUGGGCAGUAACUGACGCUGAGGAGCGAAAGCGUGGGGAGCGAACAGG